rnacentral:lncRNA from 1 species
AUGAAGCCUGAGAAGAUGCUCUUCCCUUCUCUCAUUAUGUGGCCCUUGAUCAAGCCUGGUGCUGUAGCUACCUCCAGCCCCAACAGGAUAGGACCACCUGCCUGCCAAGCACAGUCUUGCCUUUUUUCUGCUCAACCUGUGGCUCAAUCAUCCUAUCAAGAGAAGCCAUUUACAAUCCAACAUAGAAAUAUUGUCCUUUCUCCAGCCUCUGUGAUCUUUGUUCUUAUUUUUGUGUGUGUGUGUUUGGUUUAUUUAUUCAUUUUUAAAUGUCUCGCCUUUUCCUUUUUAUCAAUUCAAGCUGAAAAUUUGGCCUAAAACUCCUUCGGAAAAGAAUCGCCACCUAUUUUGAUCUUUGAGCUUUAACUUUCUGAGAUUCUAAGUUCAAAGAUAGAUGUAUUUUUCCGACUUCUGAUUUUUUUUUUCACACUUUGGGAACUCAGUACACAUGAGAAAAUAGAUGAAAUCUGAAAAGCAGCUCCUUUGCCGUUAACAGCUACAAAACUAUUCUGCACACGCAUGCUGAUACUGGCACAUAUGACAUUUAUUUCCUACAGGCACUUCUGCCCUUACUUUGCCUUUCAUUCUAUUAGCAGACAGCUUGUGUCUGGUCUGUUUACCCAAUUAAAAAGAGCAGGAUCCGCAUCUGUCUCAGUAGCUGAUGGGUUACAACGUUCAAGCACAGCGCCUGGCAAGUAGUAGGCAUUUAGGAAUAUGUGGAUUGAGUGAAUGGUUGCUAGGGAGUAUCGUGGCGUCUUAAUUUUAUGCUGGGCUCAUCCCAACGCGCGCACGUGGGAACUUCACUAAAGUUAUUUCACGAGCGCGGCGCUGAAUCUCCUUAUCCUACCGAGUUUACUGAAGUGGGGCCAGUUCUCCGCCUCUUUUAACUUUACUGCCAAGGCUGGAGAGGGGUGGAGUGGCCUGGAAGACAGUUGGAAGGAGGGUGGGAGAUUUGCUUUCUUAUAAAGAUGCUUUGGGAGACUGGCUCUGUAGCGCCAAAUUUUCAGGAAGAAAUGAGCCUGAGUCCCAAUGGCAAAAAAAGAAAAGUAAAAAAAAAAAAAAAAAAAAAAGCCCUGCAGCUGAGCUCAAUGUUUAUCUUCUGUUAAAGAGACAGCCUGAAAGCCUCCUGUGUACUGAGAGCGUGGUCCAAACCAGAGAAGGGGGCGCCCUAGUUUGUCCCCAGCAACCCCUUAGUACAGAAAGACAACCAGACAACCCACU